GUCUUUCUGUUGGUGGUGCAACACCGAGCUAUGAUAUCGGUGUGAAUAGGAACGUUCAGGUCAUUCUCAAUUUAAGAUGGCGACUUUGUGGGUCUGGAUAACCGAUACUCAACAUGGAAUUAUGGGAUCUUUAAGAAGAUGGGAGUAAAUGGCCCUCAACCCAGCUUCUUGUUUGGAAAUCAUAUGGUCUUUGCCAAACACGGAUUCAAAAAAGCGGAUAUGAUGUUGUGGAAGGAGUAUGGAGACGUGUUUGGAUAUUUCACGGGCAGAACACCUUCUAUAGUGAUAUCGGACACCGAGAUACUUCAGGAGAUUCUUGUCAAACAGUUUAACAAUUUCACAGACAGAGCGGUCCUUCGUGGUUUUAGUGGUGCCAUGAAUGAAAAUUUGAGUGCCCAACAGGGGAAAGUUUGGAAAAGUUCCCGCUCAAUAUUAUCCCCAACUUUUACAACAGGAAAGCUAAGAAAGAUGGACCCACUUAUUAAAGAAGCCGCCGACUCACUAGUUCUGCACAUUAAGAAACGAAUAAAUGAAUGCAAUGAAGUAGAUUUUGCCUGGCUUUUUGGGUGCUACACCCUUGAUGUUAUUGCCUCUACUGCUUUCGGAAUCAAAGUCGAUUCACAGAGAGACCCAAAUGACAAAUUCGUGCGAAUGGCGUCCAAAAUAUUAGCCAUUAAAGUGAAUUCACCAUAUUUAACCCUAGCAUUUGUUCUUCCAAUUCUGAUGAGGCCGCUAUCAAAACUGUUCAACAUAACAGUCCUUGACAAAGAGGCUACGGAGUUUUUCACGAAUGAAAUUCUAAAAGUUCUCAAUUCAAGUGAACCAUCGAUCCAAAAGGACUACGUUGAUUUCAUUCAUCUUAUGAUGGAGGCUCACAACGAAGACACGGAUUACACUGAUGGAAGAAGAGGUUUGACUUCAAAAGAAAUUAUCGCCAACUGCUUGCUGUUUUUCUUUGCUGGAUACGAGACAACAGCCGCCUCCCUGUCAUUCCUUGCCUACAAUCUUGCUCUUAACCCCGAUAUCCAACAAAAGAUGUAUGAAGAAAUCGUUUCCGUGCUGGGAGAGGAAGAACCGGGCUAUGACAAUACCGGAAAGCUCCAGUACAUGGAAAUGUGUAUCCACGAGACUAUGAGGAUGUAUCCGGCAUCUCCAAGGUAACCUACGGAAGUGAUUUACAACUACCCAUAAGAACCUCCUUUUGAUUACAGAAACUUGUUACGAGUUACAGUAACUCCCAUUUUGUCAUCACUUUAGCUCAUGUUACCGAUAUUCUACAGGGUGAAAGGAUAAGCGAAUGCAUUGUGUUCCUGAGAUAUCUUACAUUGAUAUUUAAAUAUCUAGACUAAAUCAUUUUUACUGAUUUUUAAACCUUCGAUUUUGCCUAGAAAUUUGACAAGAUCAAAAUUGAAUGCAGUUAUUUCGCGAACUUUCUUGUGAUUUUUCAGGACAGACCGGAUAUGUGUUCGUGAAACGGAAGUGAAAGGAUUGAAAAUUCCUGAGGGCAUGCAGAUUGCAGUACCUAUUUAUAUCUUGCAUCAUAACGAAAAACUAUGGCAAGACCCAGAGAAAUUUGAUCCAGAAAGAUUUUCAGCAGAAAAUAAAGCAAAAAUAAAGCCUUGUCAGUUUAUGCCGUUUGGUUUUGGUCCUCGGAUAUGUAUUGGGAAAAGACUGGCUAUUACUGAAAUGAAAAUAGCCUUGGCAAAACUCCUUAGAGAAUUUAUUUUAGUGAAAUGUGACAAAACAAAGAUCCCUCCAAAAGAGCUCCAGACUGGUCUUAUAAAACCUGAAGAUAUGUGGCUCAAAGUUCAAUUGCGGUCAUCUGAGGAGUCCGAUUAAGUCAUAACUUGUUGCUAUUGAAAUCCAACUGUAGUAAAGAUUCCCGCUGCAAAGCGUGAUGUAGAUUUUGUAUGUGGAGUUCGGAUUACACCAUUCACUGGUUCCGUCAGGAUUCUGAUUGUUAACAAACCCUGUAUCUACGUCUACUGAGUACUUUAACCCUUGAUUCUUAAGAUAUCCGACCGUGUUUAUCUUGUUUCUUGCUACGUCUAAUCACGAUCUAAACAUAACAUCAACUUGUUUGAAUUUGAAUUUUUUAAACACGCAUUCAAUUGCAUUCAAAUUACUAUGAAGUGUAUAAGUGAAAUACCAAUAAUAAAUAUGUUUAAAUGUACAUGUA
rnacentral:misc_RNA from 1 species